AGGCUGGCGGACGUGCGCCCCAUGGCGGAGCGAGCUGAAGUUGCAGCCUGGGACCAGGGAAAUCAAGAGGUAAAAAUGCGGCCAAACCAUUAUGAGGAAAAGGGGCCAAGAAUUACACUGUAGCGCCUCGCGCCGGCUCCCCGGUCUCCUGGGGAGCGAAGGGAGCCUGAAGAGCUGGUCCUUAUACAGCUUUCUGAAAUCCCUGAGAUCUGUCAAUGAAUCGCGCAUCUUUCACUCCACAAGUAUUUGUUGAACGUCAUUGUGAUCAUGCUGGCUGCUGUGUGGAGAAAAGACCGAGGGGAAGUAAAAGAACAAAGAACAAAAGAGAACAUGAUGGCUUGGAUCAAGAAUCACCAUUAGCUCCCUUCUGAUGAAGCAGGAGUUGACUCAGCUGGGCUUUCAGCUGGACACGGAAAGCGGAGGUAGAUGAAUUGUCAUGAUCAAGUGGGUGUCAUCAAGUACUUAGAAAGGUUUCAUUUUGUUCCUACUGUCUUUCCAACUUACUAAUAAAAAUAUUGAAAUCUAUUUCAAAAAUGAGGUAGCCUCAUGUUAUUUUAUAUCUGUCAGGAAUAUAGUACCAUGGGGAAUUUUAUUUCCCCAGAAAGCAAGAUUACACCCCUUUAGUAUGGAACACUGAACUUUAAAAGAGGUGUCCUUGAACGUGUGGAAGUGAA
rnacentral:lncRNA from 1 species